rnacentral:rRNA from 1 species
UUGAGAGUUUGAUCCUGGCUCAGGAUGAACGCUGGCGGAGUGCCUUAAGCAUGCAAGUGGAACGGUCGCCGCGAGGCGACAGUCGCAGACGGGUGAGUACAGCAUAGGAAUCUACCCUGGGGUGGGGAAUAACUCGGCGAAAGCUGAGCUAAUUCCGCAUAAGCCCGCAAGGGGAAAGGCCGUAACUGGCCGCCGAAGGAGGAGCCUAUGUCCUAUCAGCUAGUUGGUGGGGUAACGGCCUACCAAGGCAAUGACGGGUAGCUGGACUGAGAGGUCGGUCAGCCACAAUAGCACUUAGACACGGGCUAUACAUCUACGGAUGGCAGCAACUGGGAAUAUUGCGCAAUGGACGAAAGUCUGACGCAGCGACUCCGCGUGAGGGAUGACGGCCUUCGGGUUGUAAACCUCUUUUGCUCCGCCACAUGGCGGAGAGAAUAAGCACCUGCUAACCACGUGCCAGCAGCCGCGGUAAUACGUGGGGUGCGAGCGUUAUCCGGAUUUACUGGGCGUAAAGAGUUCGUAGGCGUCUGGUAAAGUUUCGUUUGAAAGACCGAGGCUUAACUUCGGAAACGGACGAAAUACUUAUCAGAUUGAGUUAGUUAGGGGGUACUGGAACUUCCGGUGUAGCAGUGAAAUGCGUUGAUAUUGGAAGGAACACCAAGGGCGAAGGCAGGUACCUGGGACUUAACUGACGCUGAGGAACGAAAGCUAGGGGAGCGAAAGGGAUUAAGUUUAGUCCCAUUCCGCAGUAAUGUGGAAUGAAAACUGGCUAUAUCGGUGGAACUCCUUGUUAUUUCGGGUUACCUUUGGUAAUCUGAAAUUAGGUGAGGACAAUACCGAGGGAAGUUAGUAUUCUAAGUAAAACUCAAGAAAAUGUUUUGAUAGGUACUAUUUUGGGAGAUGGCGGAUUGCGCUUUAAGGGUAGCGAAUGUCGGUUGCAUAUUAAACAUGCAGCUUGGCAACUGCCUUUGGUGCAAUACAAACAUCUGAUUUUCGAAAACUUUGUUUCCAUGAAGAUUAGGGAGUUUUCGCAAAACAUAUUUGGCAAGAACUACAGGUUUGCUGAAUUUGUGAGCAAAACCCAUCCUGAAUUUACCCGUUUUUAUAAUAUGUUUUACAAAAAUGGAAAAAAGAUAGUUCCUAUUAACAUUAAUAAGUUGUUAACAGAUCCAAUAGGUCUGGCGGUGUGGUUUAUGGAUGACGGUUCGGCUGAAUAUGCCGGAGCAUCUCUACAAACCCACUGUUUUACGGAAUCUGAAGUGAAGUGCUUGCAACUUUGUCUUGAGAGAAACUUUAAGUUGGAGACAACUAAAAGAAGGAAUAAGGGUAAUUGGGUGAUAUAUAUCCCCAAGAACAGUUUGGAGAGAUGGAAAGAAUUGGUUGGAAGCCGAAUUCUUAAACUAUUUGAUUAUAAACUGGCACCUUAUUCUCUAAGAAAGAAAACUAACCCCGUAGAGACUGCACGCCGGGUUCCGUUCAUAUGAAUUGAACGGAAUAUGAUACAGUCCGAACUGCAUAGUAAUAUGCAGAGUUUGCUAGAAAUGGCAAGCCGAUUCCGAAUAAUCGGAAUAAGUAACAUAUUUGUAGAGACCCCUGUAGUCCUAGCUGUAAACUAUGUUCGCUUGAUCUCUGUUCCGGCUUUGCCGGAGUGGGGGUUGGAGCUAACGCGUGAAGCGAACCGCCUGGGGAGUACGACCGCAAGGUUAAAACUCAAAGGAAUUGACGGGAAAGAGCACAACCAGGGGAGCAUGUGGUUCAAUUCGAUACGAAGCGAAGGACCUUACCCAGAUUUGACAUGUUACCGUUUUAGUUCUGCAGAAAUGCGGGAUGAUCCAACGAAAGAAGGAUGGUAUCACAGCUGCUGCAUGGCUGUCGUCAGCUCGUGCCGUGGGGUGUCGACUUAAGUGUCGAAACGAGCGCAACCCUUAUCGCAUGU